rnacentral:rRNA from 1 species
GAUGAACGCUGGCGGCGUGCCUAAUACAUGCAAGUCGAGCGAACGGACGAGAAGUUUGCUUCUCUGAUGUUAGCGGCGGACGGGUGAGUAACAUGUGGAUAACCUACCUAUAAGACUGGGAUAACUUCGGGAAACCGGAGCUAAUACCGGAUGAUAUCUUGAACCGCAUGGUUCAAAAGUGAAAGACGGUCUUGCUGUCACUUAUAGAUGGAUCCGCGCUGCAUUAGCUAGUUGGUAAGGUAACGGCUUACCAAGGCAACGAUGCAUAGCCGACCUGAGAGGGUGAUCGGCCACACUGGAACUGAGACACGGUCCAGACUCCUACGGGAGGCAGCAGUAGGGAAUCUUCCGCAAUGGGCGAAAGCCUGACGGAGCAACGCCGCGUGAGUGAUGAAGGUCUUCGGAUCGUAAAACUCUGUUAUUAGGGAAGAACAUAUGUGUAAGUAACUGUGCACAUCUUGACGGUACCUAAUCAGAAAGCCACGGCUAACUACGUG